rnacentral:rRNA from 1 species
ACACUCCUGCGGGAGGCAGCAGUGGGGAAUAUUGGACAAUGGGCGCAAGCCUGAUCCAGCCAUGCCGCGUGAGUGAUGAAGGCCCUAGGGUUGUAAAGCUCUUUCACCGGAGAAGAUAAUGACGGUAUCCGGAGAAGAAGCCCCGGCUAACUUCGUGCCAGCAGCCGCGGUAAUACGAAGGGGGCUAGCGUUGUUCGGAAUUACUGGGCGUAAAGCGCACGUAGGCGGAUCGAUCAGUCAGGGGUGAAAUCCCAGGGCUCAACCCUGGAACUGCCUUUGAUACUGUCGAUCUGGAGUAUGGAAGAGGUGAGUGGAAUUCCGAGUGUAGAGGUGAAAUUCGUAGAUAUUCGGAGGAACACCAGUGGCGAAGGCGGCUCACUGGUCCAUUACUGACGCUGAGGUGCGAAAGCGUGGGGAGCAAACAGGAUUAGAAACCCCAGUAGUCCCA